rnacentral:rRNA from 1 species
CAGUAGCCGCGGUAGGACAGAAGAUGCAAGCGUUAUCCGGAAUGAUUGGGCGUAAAGCGUCUGUAGGUGGCUUUUCAAGUCCACCGUCAAAUCCCAGGGCUCAACCCUGGACAGGCGGUGGAAACUACCAAGCUAGAGUACGGUAGGGGCAGAGGGAAUUUCCGGUGGAGCAGUGAAAUGCGUUAAGAUUGGAAAGAACACCAACGGCGAAAGCACUCUGCUGGGCCGACACUGACACUGAGAGACGAAAGCUAGGGGAGCAAAUGGGAUUAGAUACCCGGGUAGUCCCUGUCUCUUAUAA